GCCAGGCAGACAUGUACAGCUAACACAUUUUAUCAUACAACAACAAUAGCUUACCUAUGGCUUAUAGUUUAAGAAAAACAGACCAAACACACAAAACUUAACACAGAGCAAUGAACCGUUGAAAAUGAGUCAAGGUCAAAUAAAACCUGCGCGACUGACAUAUAGAUCAUAAACAUUUCCAUACACCAAAUAUAGUUGACCUAUUGUAUAUAGUAUUAGAAAAAAAGACCAAACACAAAACUUAAAUUUGACACAUGAACCAUGAAAAUGAGGUCAAGGUCAGAAGACACCUGCCACUUGGACUGUAUACCUUACAGUCCUUCCAGACACCGAAUAUACUAGACCUAUUGCAUACAGUAUAAGAAAAACAGACCAAAACACAAAAACUUAACUAUCACCACUGAACCAUGAAAAUGAGGUCAAGGUCAGAUGACACCUGCCAGUUGGUCAUGUACACCUUACUGUCCUUCCAUUACACCGAAGAUACUAGA
rnacentral:lncRNA from 1 species